GUAUCAGGAACUAGUUUGAAGCGAUCAUAAAAAAGCUAUUGAGUACAACUGGUAUCACUCAACAUCUAUUGAGCAUCUACUCUUUGGAAAGCACUUCAGGUGUUCAAAGAUGACAACAACACUGUCUUCCUAGUGAAGACCACUUAACACAACUAAAGCUCUAAAAACACACAGCAAUAAACAAGUGCCAAGUGGUGGACAUCAACAGAGAGUGUCGACAGAUGGAAAGCGAACAGUUUCACCACGGCCUUCCAGGAUGAGGGAAGCGUUGAGCUUUGACGGACAGUAGGUAUUUUUUGUGUGUGCUUGUUUGUUUUUCAUGGCUUUUAGGGUUUGGAUACUGAGAUUUUAAACUGAUAAUCAUAUUCCUUUCCUACUCAAGUUCAAAGCCAACUGAUAACUAGCUGCUGUUAUCAGAGAGAAGCAUACGUUUUUAAUAGAGCUUUAUUGCAGAGAUUAAAUUACAAAAUGCCACUUGGCCUCUUGCCACCUGAUAUCCCCUUAUGUAAAUGUAGCACUCAGCUCUGGCAGGUUUGAACACCGGCGGGCUUCCCUACUGCGUCCCAGGUGGCUGCUAGUGGUAAAGAACCCACCUGCCAAAUGCAGGAGACUUGAGAUUCACGGGUUCAAUCCCUGGCUGGGGAAGAUCCCCUGGAGGAAGAAAUGACAACCCGCUCUAGGACUCUUGAGUGGACAUGAUUGAAGUGACUUCGCACACAUGCAUACAGGUAGGUCUCCCUAGUGGUAACAAGUCAAAACAGAACGUGCACAAGCCACGCACAUAGCAUUCCACGAAUGAGAGGAGCGGGAGCUGAGGUGAAGCCUGCUUAGUUCCUGCCCCAAGCUCCUCAGUCAGGCAAGUCACACCUUCUGCCGCAGGGAGGAGCGAGCAAAUCCCACCAAGAGAGGCCAGGAGGGCUUACUCUACAGAAAUAAGUCUUCUCACGGAAUCGGAAGUCCUGACAUCGAGGUUCCUUGCUAGCAUGAGGAUGAGGUGGACUUUAAGGAUCUGUUUUGGAAGGCACAAAGAGAACCACGACUGUUUCUUUCUCUCUGCCUUCCUAUUAUCACAAUUCUAAUCCUCCUGAAGGGACAGCUCUGACACUCAUCAGGAAAUGGUCGCACACUAUAAAGAGAAGAAAAGAAGAACACAGAGAUCGACAUUUCCAGCUACCAUCACAGCAUGUUCACUCCCUUAUUUAAUUUCCCUUUUUCUUAAGCCCCUUCUGUUGAGAGAAGACUCCUUUACUGAUAUUCCUCCCAAUAAUAUUUAUGAGCUUAGGAAGGCACCAGUGGUUCUCUCCAAAGUACAAGAGAAAUGACCAGAGUCAUGGGGAUUAUUUAGGACCCUUGAGGUUCUCAGCCUCAGACUGCUACUACAAGGAUCCCUGAAAAGAAAAUAGAGACAUUUUUACUAGCAUCUAAGGAAUUGGGCCUCACCCAUAAUCUAUCUUAUUUAUCUAUGCAGUGACCCAAGGUGAGCACAGUUACUCCUGGGAGCCUGCCCACACAUGGAUCAAUCCAAAGUGUCCUGCCUCGCAAGCUUAGGGUUUAAAUCAAGCCACUUCCCCCAGAAUAUGCAACCUGAACGACUGUACCCUCCAUUUACUACCAUGAGAACGUCUUCUUGUGAUGAGCCCAAAACCCUGUGGACUUAGCCUUCCCAAAGGGUAUGGCCCCAAGAGAGGAAAUGGAAAACGUGUUCCCUGUUUCACUUACUGUUGCUGUUGCCCUGUGUCGUCUGGACAACAGGUGGUCCAGAAACCUGUUGGAGGGACCGAGGUAGCACGCUGCUCUCACAGGCGUGGCAGUGUUGGUUCAGGCUGCAGGAGCACGGAGCUUUUCCCCACAGACGCUGCAGUCAGCUAGUAACCAGGCCUGAGAGCCCUACAGCAGGCAUGGGCUUGGCACCAUCAUAUGCCAUGAAAGCAAAUGCCAAGAGCGUUCUCCACGCAACUGCAGUAACUUCCCUACAUUCAAACCUUCAUGUUGCAAGCUCUCAAAGAUGUGAGCAUGUAAGUGAAAAUUCAGCUUGUACCCCAUCUCCUGCUGCCGAUGGUCCUUUGGCUCUGCCGUCUCUCACCCCCUCUCCUGCCUCCAGUCUGUAAGGCUUCUUGCCGGCUCAGUCAGUGCCAGCCCCUGUAUGCCAGCUACUGUAGUUUCAAGGUACUACUGUAAGAUUAAAAA
ensembl:lncRNA